UACGUAGGGGGCAAGCGUUGUCCGGAUUUAUUGGGCGUAAAGGGUGCGUAGGUGGCGCCGUAAGUCAGGUGUGAAAUUUCGGAGCUUAACUCCGAAACUGCAUUUGAUACUGCGGUGCUUGAGGACUGGAGAGGAGACUGGAAUUUACGGUGUAGCAGUGAAAUGCGUAGAGAUCGUAAGGAAGACCAGUGGCGAAGGCGGGUCUCUGGACAGUUCCUGACACUGAGGCACGAAGGCCAGGGGAGCAAACGGG
rnacentral:rRNA from 1 species